GCCUUCCCGGUGAGUCUGCGGGCUUAAACGGACGCGGUAAAGCGUGCUAAGGUAGCUAAAUUAUGGCCUAUUAAUUGUAGGUCCUGUGAAUGGUUUGACGAGUCUUCAACUGUCUCUAGUUUUUUUGGUGAACUUGAAUUGGAUGUGCAAAUGCUUCCAUGGGUAAGAAAGACGAGAAGACCCCGUGAAGUUAGAAAUUUUGGUUGUUGGUGAGCUUUGUUGGGUGUAGGUUAGGCUACUUUAAGUGGUUUGAAAGAAAAGUGAACAGCGAUAGUUUUGGCUGGGGCAGCAAAGAAGCAAGGUUAGACUUCUUUAGUUUAAGGACAGGUGUGUGACGACCCACAAGUUUGUUGGUGUGAUUAGCAGAAGAAGUUACUCCGGGGAUAACA
rnacentral:rRNA from 1 species